UUUGGAGACACGGUAGAGAGGGGUAAAUUGGCCUACUAUGGUUUGCCUACUAGCCACCUUUAAAGUUUGCUUACUUAAUAGGGAGAAAAAGAAAAAGAAAGAAAAAUGAAAAAGGCUAAAGCAAUUUGUGACACAUGUAAUUUAGUUUGUGCUCCAGAUGCAAAUCAUCUGUCAGUUGCUUUGCUUUGCCCCAGUAAUGGAUAUAGCCAAUCACAGUAGGUCUGGACAUCAUGCAAAUUGCUCUAGAUCAGUCCAAUUCCAUUGAAAAUAUGUAUUUGUCCAAAUCCAGGGCACAGCCAUAAUGUCAAGCUUUGUUUUCCAUUUUCUGGAGGAGAUAGUGACUAUGCAGUCAUACAUAGAUAUGUUUAGUCUGUUGCUGUGUGUUAAUUUCAUUGUUCUGCAGUCCGAAAAGAGGAAGAUGUGCUGGUUAUGUCACUGGAGUUAGCCUGAAAGAAUGCAUCAUAGCCAAAACUUGGUUAACAUCAGAGGACAAACUUGUUUUCUCUACUAUUAAAGAAAAAAACAAAACCUUGCAGAAUCAAAAUUUGAGAACUCACCUCAGAACUAGAAAAAGAGAUAUGUGUGUGUGUGUGUGUUUAAAGAGAGCUAAGACACUAACAGCCUUCACUAUUCUGUCCGCGGUUUAUGUUUCUUCAAUUUUAGAUCAAAGGAACAAAACUUAAUUCUGUUCACAAAAAAAUCUGGGUAUCACUCAGCUUUGCUACAUGAAACAGGAUCCUGUGAAUCUUCACUUGGAAGUUCUCAGAACAUACUGUGGACUAUCACACCAUCUGCACCGAGAUCCUCACAUCCAAACACAAAUUAAAAAUGAAACUGUAAAAUUUGCAAGGAAACAAUACAGACCUUUUAUCUCAUUCUCCCUCUGUUCAUUUUCAAAAGAGAAACUUGCUUGUAGCCAAGCAUAGCUAAAAAGCCUUUUAUUAAUUGGACUGGCAUCAAGCUUGCAUACAUAAAAUUGUUUAUUUUUUCCCCUAUAAAGGGGUUGCCUGACAUAAAAGGGUCUUUGAAGAUGACAUUCAGAUUUUGACAUUUGCAUGAUAUUGUAUAAAUAUCAGAGGUAGGAGACUUCUCUGACAAACCAGAUGGGUCAGGAAAAGCACUUCCGUAGAUAGAUAUUAGUCUUUUACUUAAAGCGUAUUAGCUUCUUCUCAAAGCUGUGAAUGAUUAGACAGCUAAAACAAAUACAUUUCGCCCACUAACUGUGUCUUGCUUACUUCAUUUCCCCCCCCUCAAACAAGAACUAGGAUGGGUUGGGGGAAUAUAAAAUAAUAUCAUUACUCUGGCACUCUCCCUCCCCUUGUAAUUCAAUUAAGAUCAAACAAUAAAAAUGAACCUCCUCUUUUGAUUGCCAUCGAGAUUAAAUCUUAUUGCCAAACUUAUGGCUUCUCAACUGAGCUCAUUUUGGUUUCAGGCCUGGACUUAUUAUUGAAAUAUGAAAAGGUAUUUUAGGCCUCGAAUUCCAUCAAUAUUUGAAUUAGAGAGAGACAAAUAUUCUGCAUUUUAACCUAAUUCCUAUCUGCAGUUAGAUGGCAGCCAAAGGCAUUUUAAGCAGGGUGAGGAGGUAGGGAAAGAAAUCAUCAAGAACUGAGCCAAGUAAAUUAUUGGAUGUCUCUUUGCCUUCUUCUUCUUCUUUUUUUUUUAAGAGGUGGAAUUGCUGACUGGAUUGUUUAGUUUGGAUUUCAAAUGAAGGCAGAGGGGAACCUCUCUCUUUUUUGAUCAUGUAAAGCAAUGACACAAAUCUGAUUAUAGGUGUUGACCCUUACUUAUUUGCAAAGAAUCCACCUCUGUCAGCAGGUAGUGACUAGCAAUGAGAGGGUAUUUUUUUUUCCUUUUUAAAAGAAUGCUGGAACAGCCCAAAACAUCAUUUCCAGAUUCCAGUUUGUUCUGAAAGACUUUGCAAUAAAAAGGGCCAUAUUUUAA